GGAGAAUCGCUUGAACCUGGGAGGCGGAGGUUGCGGUGAGCUGAGAUUUCACCAUUGAACUCCAGCCUGGGCAACAAGAGCGAAACUCUGUCUCAAAAAAAAAAAAAAAAAAAAAAAAAUUCCUCCUUACCUCCCUGUCCCUGAUUCUAGCGCCAGUCUGUGGCUGUCCAGGAGUGGGGUGGGGAGGGUCUCUUCCUGCCUCUCUCAGUUCUUUUCUGUCCCAUCUGUCUUUCCCCUUCUCUCCCCAAAGCUCUAGCCACUAGUUAUUUUCCAGGGUUUUUCCUCUAUGCCCCCCGCCAGUAUCAUCUCUGCCCUUGUCCCUCCAUAGCUGCGCCUGGCCAUCCCCCCUCCCUGCUCUCUUACCUCCACAUCUGACGGUCUGCAGAGUCCUGGGUGUGGCCCCUGGACUCCCCGUUGGCUCCUUAGACUGUCCCUGUCCAAUCUUUCUUCCACUCCCCACUCCCGCACCUGCCUGUCCUCCUUCCUUCCUCAAUGAAUGGUGCCCCCACCUGUCUGGUCUGUGCCAUGGGUCCAGGCAAGUGCAAGGUUCCGGUCUUGGUAAUUAGAAUGCUGGAGCCACUGACAAAGAUUUCAGAGAGAGAAAGGAUUUCUAAAUUUGUUCUUGAGUAGGUUAAGGUUAUUUCAAAAUCAAGAGAAGGCCUUGAUGGAUCGAUAUGUGAGUUGAGAUAGCCACAGCCUUUGUUAUGUCAGUUGUGUGAAGUGCUUGUAAAAUCACUAUUUUAUUUUUUAAUUUUUAAUUAAUUAUUUACUUAUUGAGACACAGUCUCA
rnacentral:lncRNA from 10 species